rnacentral:sRNA from 1 species
AAGGGGUCCGGGUCAGAGUUUAGAGCUUUCAAAUCCCAACUUGCCCCUGGGGAUUGCACGGCUGACGUUUAGAUAUCAAGUCAUCAGGGUCUGGCUGUGUAAAAGUUCAAAGUAUUGAGUGUGAUAAUUGCAAAAUUGAAACAGAGCAUGGGACUAGCAUCUUGCAGUCUGUUAAGGGUCAAAAAUUGCAUGUUCAAACAAAAAGAGGCAAAGUGAUCUGUCUGGGAACAGUUUAUGGAAAUAUAGAUAUUCAUGCAUCAGACAAAAGUGCUGUGACCAUAGAUAAACUGCAGGGAAGUUCUGUUACUGUAUCUACCGAAGAUGGUUUGCUGAAAGCCAAGUAUCUUUAUACAGAAUCAUCAUUUCUGUCUUCUGCUGCUGGAGAUAUUACAUUAGGAAGUGUUCAUGGUAAUAUAACAUUACAAAGCAAGAUGGGUAACAUCACAGUAGAUUCAUCUUCUGGAUGUCUAAAAGCCUCAACUAAUCAGGGUGCCGUAGAUGUUUAUGUCAGCCAACUGGGGAAAGUGGAAUUGAAAUCCCAUAAAGGUUCUAUUAUUGUCAAGGUCCCAUCUUCACUUCAAG